GGGCUGGGGAGCUCAGCCCAAGGACUGGCACUUCAGAGAGGGCUUGGAAUGAGAGAAGGAAGAAGGCAAUCCAGGGCCAAUAGGGUGUAGGGUCAAGAGAUCCAGCCUCAAAAGAGAAGGCCCGGGUUCAAAUUCUAUUGCUGAUGUAUCCUGGCUGACUAUGUGGCCCUAGGUGUCUAUGAUGAGGGUAAGGGAGAGAUCCAGAGAAAAUACUCUAGGAAAAAUUGAUGAAGAGAUCACUUUCAAGCAGAGGCAAAUCAGAGGAAAUGGUAUCUCAACCUUGAAGGAAGAGAAACAUUUUGCCAGGCAGAAAUGAAAAGUAAAUGUAUUCCAGACAUUUAAUAUGACCUGCAGAAUUCAUAGAGGUAAGAAAUGGCAUGCUGAGCAUGAAGGUCAGCUAGUAGUUCAACUUACCUAGAACAAAGAGUGUACGAUGGGUGAGUUCUCUCUUUUGUGUUUCUGUCUGGCAAGUGACAGCUUGAUGCACACAAGAUGCAAAUUGGUCUGCUUACUAAAGAAGAGUUGAAAAAAAACCUGGAGAAAUGUUUCAAAUAAAAUAAGACACAACCUAACCAGGGAAGAGGAGAAUCACAAACUUAUCAGCAGCAUGGAGGGGAAGAACAUGACAGGGGAGAGAGGACAAUAAGGACCACUAAACCUUACGAAUUAUGAAAGCUCUUCUAAUAGAGUAGAAGAGUUGAAUCCUAUAAGGAAGAAGUAGCUUUUUGCAUUCCAAAGAAGAAUGAGCAUCCACAUGUGCUAAAAGGCAAGGAGCUGUCUAGUAAAAGAGGGAGAGAGGACUUGUGAUUGGUAAUUGAGAGAUACUGAGAUAGCCAUAGGUGAAACUGCCAUGAAUAAGGUGGUGUAUUGUGUACUUCAGGUGUGUAUGAAGGAUGAGAUGGAAGAUCUUCUCAGAGUUGAUGAUCAUUACCCAUUGCUGGGGAUUCUACCCCAACCUAGAACCUAGACAGCUCUACUAACGAUUUUGAAGUAAUAAGCAAGAAACUGAAGACCAUAUUUAACAUUUUCAUUUACUGCUGCCAGCUGAAAGCAGAGGUUUCAGAAGAUUUGAGAAGUGGCUAAAAAUGCAGAAUCUGACAAUAUUUGGGCCACAGCUCAAAAUAAAGCUCUUGGGCAGAGAUGGAGUAUGUCUAAUAAGAAAAGUGAGGUCACAUGUAGUGACCUCCCCAUUCUCCCCUCAUUUCAAAACCUUUGGUAUUUUCUCCCAUUCUGUUCCGAGAAAUGAAAUGACCAUCUGUUAUCAAAUAGUCUUUUAUUAUCACAAUCUCUCUGUGGUUCUUAACCAGCUGGACAUUCCACAGUACCACUACUGAUGUCAUCAAUGACAUCAUGACAAUGACUACCAUUGCAUCCCACAGACCAGGUUGGCCUAUGGGACUCUGAUGAUUCCAGAGAGAUCUCUUUGCUAUGGAUGACUGCUUUUUCCCUUGAGCAAUGUCGAUAAUCUCAUUAAGGACAGCAUUUUUCUACUUCUUUCUCUCAGGGAAGUUCUUUCAGGGACUUGAUGACCGAGGCUGAUGCAUAAGACACAAUACUCAAUCUGGACCUGUCUGUUCCCAAUGGUGUUUCACAGAGUUCCUUACCCAUUUCUAGUCACCACUUGCCUUAUGGUGAUAUGAUCACUAACCUUUUUUGUAGACAGGCCCAGGGGACCAAUUUUGGGAGCCAGAGUAGAUAUAGCACCAACUUCACCAGGGCAACUCAAUUACACUUUAAUCUUAUUUAGAGCUGAACUUGGGCAAUGUGUUGGUGAUGGAAGUGGAGGCAUAGUCUGGGUGUUGCAGGAUGGUUGCCAGUGUCUGAUGAACUCAGAUUUUCACCACCAAAAGAAGUUCACCACCCAUGAGUUAGAAGUCAAGGAGAGGUACACUGCAUAUUAAAUACAUUCAUAUGUAUGAAUCCACAGACUACAAGGUCAUGGGGAAAGCAAAGCUGCAGAAAACACUUGAUAAUCAAUGGAAGGAGCAACAGAAGCAAUGUUAUUGUGGGAAUAUGCCACAGACCAAACUGGUAGGAUGUAGAAGCAACUCACAAACCUAGCUCAAAGAGAGACUAUGAGGUGAUGGGGAAUGUCAAUUAUGGAGGCAUUUCCUGUAGCAUACCUAUUCCUGAACAACAAAGGAUGAGAAAAAAAAAUGUGUGGGCCUGAAGGGCAAUUUUAUUUGUUGAAGAUGGAAGAAGCAAUGAAGGGAAGUUCCCUAUUCUAGAUAUUCUUUCAUAACCUGGUCCCAACCUACCUUUUCCAACUUUUGUUAUUCCAUUGUAUCAGUCGUGUCCAACUGGAGUAAUUUGGAAUGGUCUGCUAUUUCCUUCUCCAGCUUAUUUUACAGAUGAGGGAACUAAGGCAAACAA